CAUCGCACUUUGACUCGCUUUGGCUGAGGCCGAUGCUGGCCAAGGUUCCUCCAGCUGCGGACAGUUACUUGCAAUUUGGGAUCAGAGUGCAUAUCUAGAAUCUAUAUAAAUACACCACAAGUCUUGACGCAUUUGAAUCUCACUCCAGCAUUUGACAGAAAAUCAACCGCACCGCCACCGAAUAAAUCUGAUAAGAUGAUGUGUAAAUCGAUGUUGUGGUCCAUGAUGGCUUUCCUCUGCUUGGCAACAACUGUCUUUUCCAAGCAAUCAUCAGACAAAUCAUCUUCCGACUCCAGUGAAUCGUCUGAAGAAAAGAGGCCAGUAGCGAUAGCGAAUGCCACCGAAGUUUCCGUUGUCUCUGAAAUUCCAGCAACAACCUCACAAGCACCUUCGGCUGUCAUAACUGCCACGGAGCAAGCUCUUCAAGAAAACAAUCAAACGCAGUUGUUGCUAAAUGAGGCUUAACACCGCAGAGAUGGGAAUAUAAUCGUAUGUAUAGACUAUGAACGCCAGAUUUCAUCAAAUUAAAAACUAUAUUUUACCUUAAUCGCGAAUAUUUGACCAAACCAAAACAAAAUGUUAUGAUUCAUUAAAAAUUGAACCUACCCGAGAGUAAGAUGCCUUUGUUUUCUACCCUGUUUCUUUGAAGCGGUAACUCAAAAUUGCUCCUAUAGUGAAUUUAGUGCACCAAAAAAAAUUAAUAUAUUCAAUACCCCGCUAACAUUUUAUUUUUUAAUACAAUUAAUUACAUAUUAUUCUUCGCUACCGCUAAUUAUAGUAUUAAUUGAAGACCAAAACACAAUACGUAAUUCAAAUCUGCGACGAUACUAAAGUUAAAGUUUUUAACUAAUCUUGAAUUGAUUAAAUUCCUUUUUGAUUAAAUAUUCUUUUUCUGUGUUCUUGAUAAGAUAAAUGAAGAAGAAAAACAUCUUCUACUUUGGGAAUUAGUUUUAUUUCAUUUUUCAACUGCCGUUGAUUAACAUUUGGUGUUGAAAAUGAGAAUUUUUGCUCUAUUUUGGGUUGUCGGUACUAUUUUGGUGCACAACUGCAUUUGUGAGAAUCGCGUUUCUAUCGGCGGCAGAGAGUACAUAAUAUUUGCGGAACUGGCAAGUCAAUUUUCGUUAAAAUAAUUCACCUUCUCUCAGUAAAGUGUAAAACGUUACACACAGUACGACAGGCCCGCAGCAGUAUCCCUUUGUCAGUCAAAUGAAGCGCAACUCAUCGUGUUUGAAACGGAAAAAGAACAAAUAGAUGUCGCCCA